CCACCCCCCCGCGCUCGGAGCAUGAGUGUGCCCGCCCGCGCGCGCGCGCCUCCGCGCCGUCAGUUGCCCGCGCGCCCGCGUCCGGCGCGCGCCGCUCCCCGCGCGCUCCCGCCUAGCGCCCGGAGCGCGGCGGCGAAGACUCUCUGGUGUACCUGCAGGAGUCAAAACCUACACGAUGCCGGGGAAGCUGAAGGUGAAAAUCGUGGCCGGGCGCCAUUUGCCUGUGAUGGACCGCGCCAGUGACCUGACGGAUGCCUUCGUGGAGGUGAAAUUUGGUAAUACCACCUUUAAAACAGACGUGUUUCUCAAGUCACUCAAUCCUCAGUGGAACUCAGAGUGGUUUAAAUUUGAGGUGGACGAUGAAGAUUUGCAAGAUGAACCUCUACAGAUCACUGUUCUUGAUCAUGACACUUACAGUGCCAAUGAUGCCAUUGGCAAAGUCUACAUCGACAUCGACCCCCUGCUGUACAGUGAGGCUGCGACUGUCAUCUCAGGGUGGUUCCCGAUUUACGACACCAUACAUGGUAUCCGUGGAGAGAUCAAUGUAGUUGUCAAAGUAGACCUCUUCAAUGAUUUGAAUCGAUUUAGACAGUCAUCUUGUGGAGUCAAAUUUUUUUGCACAACAUCUAUUCCAAAGUGCUAUAGAGCUGUAAUAAUUCAUGGAUUUGUAGAAGAACUUGUGGUCAAUGAAGACCCAGAAUAUCAAUGGAUUGAUCGAAUUCGGACACCCAGGGCAUCAAAUGAGGCCAGACAGAGACUCAUUUCUUUAAUGUCAGGUGAACUGCAGAGGAAGAUUGGCUUGAAAGUACUUGAAAUGAGGGGCAAUGCGGUUGUGGGGUACCUGCAGUGCUUUGACCUGGAGGGCGAGUCUGGGCUGGUGGUGCGAGCCAUCGGGACAGCAUGCACUCUGGAUAAACUAAGCAGCCCAGCAGCAUUCCUUCCCGCAUGCAGUUCCCCAUCCAAAGAAAUGAAGGAGAUUCCCUUCAGUGAAGACCCCAACCCCAAUCCUCACUCAUCAGGACCCUCAACCCCUCUGAAAAACCAAACUUAUUCCUUUUCACCUUCCAAGUCGUACAGUCGGCAGUCCUCCUCUUCUGACACAGACUUGAGUUUGACACCCAAAACUGCACCUUACCCACAGCACCUGUGUCCCAGCUCCCCCCUUCUUUCUUGUGGUUCCCUUCACCUUAAAAAGUCCUGUCUCCUCCUCCCGGAAUCUAGCCUUAGCCCUCAUCAUUCUAGCCUUGUCAGCCCCGUUCUGAGGAAAAGUGUUUCUUUCAGUGAAGAGCUGUUCCUGGCGGCUGCUGGAAUGGGAAGUGGUAGUGCUGGAAAAGAAGGAGGGCCAUUUAAAGCUCUCUUAAGACAACAGACUCAGUCGGCGUUGGAACAGAGGGGAGGAUCACCUCAUAGGUUCUGUAGAAGGCGGGAAUUUCCAUUUUUCACCUUGACGGCAUUUCCUCCUGGAUUUCUUGUGCACGUUGGCGGUGUUGUCAGUGCACGCUCUGUGAAGCUUUUGGACCGUAUCCACAAUCCUGAUGAACCAGAAACUCGAGAUGCAUGGUGGGCAGAAAUCAGACAAGAAAUAAAAUCUCAUGCUAAAGCAUUAGGCUGUCAUGCUGUAGUGGGCUACAGUGAAUCCACCAGCAUCUGUGAAGAGGUCUGUAUUUUGUCUGCGUCUGGCACGGCAGCGGUACUGAACCCCCGCUUUCUGCAGGAUGGCAUCGUGGAGGGCUGUUUGGAUCAGAGGCUUGAUGAAAACAUGCCUGUGGGCUGUGGCUUUUGCCAUAUUCCUUAUGAUGAGCUGAACAUGCCGUUUCCAGCCCAUCUCACCUACUGCUACAACUGCAGAAAGCAAAAGGUCCCUGACGUGCUCUUCACAACUAUAGAUCUCCCAACUGAUGCAGCAGUUGUUGGGAAGGGUUGUCUCAUUCAAGCAAGGUUAUGUCGCUUAAAAAAGAAAGCACAGGCGGAAGCAAAUGCCACAGCUGUCAGUAACCUCUUGCCAUUUAUGGAGUAUGAAGUACACACUCAGCUAAUGAACAAGCUAAAACUCAAAGGAAUGAACGCUUUGUUUGGACUAAGAAUUCAGAUCACUGUGGGUGAAAAUAUGCUGAUGGGCUUAGCGUCGGCCACAGGUGUAUAUUUAGCAGCUCUACCGACACCUGGCGGCAUUCAGAUUGCCGGGAAGACCCCCAGUGACGGCUCCUAUGAGCAGCAUGUGUCCCAUGUGCAGAAGAAGAUCAACGACACCAUCGCUAAGAACAAAGAGCUGUAUGAAAUCAGUCCCCCGGAGAUAUCUGAAGAGAUUAUAGGAUCACCCAUUCCAGAACCUAGACAACGUUCAAGACUUUUAAGAUCUCAAUCAGAAAGCUCUGAUGAAGUUACAGAAUUAGAUCUUUCACAUGGGAAAAAAGAUGCUUUUGUUUUGGAGAUUGAUGACACUGAUGCCAUGGAAGAUGUCCAUUCUCUCCUCACUGAUGUUCCUCCUCCUUCAGGCUUUUAUAGUUGCAAUACAGAAAUUAUGCCUGGUAUAAAUAAUUGGACAUCAGAAAUACAGAUGUUCACGUCAGUGAGAGUGAUCAGACUGAGCAGCCUUAACCUGACCAACCAAGCACUGAAUAAGAACUUCAAUGACCUCUGUGAGAAUUUGCUCAAGAGCCUGUAUUUCAAACUACGGUCUAUGAUUCCCUGCUGCCUUUGCCAUGUAAAUUUUACAGUAUCUCUGCCUGAAGAUGAAUUAAUUCAGGUUACAGUCACAGCUGUUGCAAUAACUUUUGACAAAAAUCAGGCUUUACAGACUGCAAAAACUCACGUUGAAAAGCCACUACAAAGAGCUUCCACAGAUAAUGAAGAACUUCUGCAGUUUCCGUUGGAGCUCUGUUCAGACUCACUUCCUCCUCAUCCUUUUCCACCAGUUAAAGUCAUCACCCAAAGAACUCCAUAGAGAGUUUUAGCAUCCUUUAACUUCCUUGAGUGAAUAGAGGGGGAGAAUCAGAGAAUCAAAUUCAAAGGAAAGGCUUCAGAAGUUUGGAGGCUGCUGAAUUGGAGCGUUGUCACCCUUAUCAUCAUCAUCAUCAUCAUCAGUAUCAAAUGCUAACAUAUAUGCAAACCUUUAUGCGAGUGCUUAACUGCAAAACUUCCCUUGAAUGUUAUAUUUUAAAAUCCUCAGUAGACACUUUAAAGUGUGUCUGUACUUUCUCAUAAACAGUUUUGUAAAUUGCGUUUGUGUUGCAUGCUUACUCACUGUCUUUACUUCCUCAAGUCUUUUAGGAAGUGGGUUAAUGUAUCUCAAAAGGUUAUUUCAAAUUAUCUUGGAAGGGUUUGAGGGUAAGAUGGGUUUUGAACGAUCUGAAGAAUGUAGAAAUGGUGUUUAAAGUGAGUGGAGUAACUGUGUGCUGUAACAUGACAGAAAGUGUUUAAUAGAGAGAGAAGUGUCUGUAAAAAUCCAAACUUCCAUUCACAGGAAGUAGGCAGGAAAGGAAAAUGAGAGUGUCAGGAGUGAGUCUGGAGACUUGUCUGCUUUCUUGUGUGAACCUUAAGAGGCUUAAGAGUCAGUUACUCACACCUGACAAAUAAAUAUACACUACACUUUUGUUAAGUUGGUUAUCCAACUGAUAGUUUUUUCCUUCUUAAAAUAUUCUAAGAACUUUGAAUUCUAGUUUCCACUCAUGAUCUUAUCAGAAGUAGGAUGAUUUAUUUCCUUUUCUGUUGACAGGGUGAGUAGUUUAAAGGGCUGAGCACAGUCUGUUCAUUAACAGUUUUCUCUUGUAGAUAAACCCUUCAUUACCUUUUUCUUGUGGAAAAUAUGUCAGUGUCACAUGAAAUGACGCUUCAAUUCCACGUUUCUUAACUCCCUGGGUGGAGCAAGCCUGGGUGGAAUUGUCCAUCCGUGUUCACUGUUUCUUCCAUCAUUUAUUAUAUCCUGAUUUAUCUUUCAAGGUAACAACGAUAUAUCAACUCUGUGGUUGAUUUGGUGUUACCUUGCUAGUUAUCUUGAUUUUUUAAUUUGAAGUAUGAAAAGGUGCUGAGCUUCAGUAAUUUCUUAAAGAUUGCCUAUCACCUGAGGGCCAUCAAAGCUCCUUGGUGAAUACUGUGAGGAUCAUAGAUGGUGUGCUCCCAGUGAGGCUGUGCCACGAGAAAAGAACAUGGUGACAGCAAGUUUUAUACCACUUUCAUAAUGUUUUUUCCUUAUUAAUAUCCACACUUAGGUUUUUCUGAACGCAAUUUCUUGACACUUUAAUGCAUACAGAAAAGAGAGAUAGUAGAGUAAAAGCAGAAAAUCUGAGCAGAGACGGUCAGGGUGAGCAGCAGCAUCAGAAGAUUUUCUCAGACGGUGCACCCAAUCUCAGGAAUUUUGUGCAUGUCAGUUUUGUAAAAGAAUAGCAUAUUACUUUAAAAGUCUGAAGUCAUAAAUCUGGACAUAGUAGUUACCAUGUUAUGGAGCUUAUAAACUGAAAUUAGACAAUUGUGUGUAAAUCAUAGACUAUAAACUGUUUUCAUUAAAAUACUGGUAGUUUGAAGUUUUCAAAAAGUUUAAUUAGGAAGUUAGGUUCCUUUUUUUCUUUUUUUCUGCAUGGCUGUUAAACCCAGAGCUGUACCACUCUAGCCAUAUGUUGUUUCAGAGGCAGGGUGUCCCUAACUCGGCCUGGUCUGGCCUCUAGCUUGUCAGCUUUCUGGCUUUGCCUCCUGAGUAUCUGGGAGUGCACCACUGCGCCUGACCAAGAAUUCAGUUUUUAUAUACUGUUGAAUAAAAUGAUACUGAAGAGCAUUCCUUACAUCCAUCUGGUCACCUGCUUUCGUUUUGUUUUGUGCUGGUGACUCCCUCACAUUCAGAGGAAGUGUAGGCUGACAGGAGCCUCUUGUAACAUCAGCUCUGACUAAUUAGUCAAGUCAGUUACAUUAAUAUCUGGCUUUUGAUAGAAAAGAAAGCAAGUUGAUGUUUACUUACAAUGUGUUGUAUUCUUUAACUAGUUAUCCACAGCAAAAGGUUUUUAUUUUCAUUUUAGGCUAUAAGCAUUACUUUUUCUUUUUUGUUAAACCAAA